AUUCAUUGCAUUUAAGUAAUCAAACAACCACAAACUGUCACUGUCACUUUCAUUUCCUGUCAUUGUUCAUCUUCUUUAGCUGCUCCCACUUUAUCACUGGAGUUGGAUGCCCCCUGCAUCUAAGUAUCAGAAAGGGAAGGCUGUAGGUGUGUACAUGUGCUAGAAAGAGAGGUGAGAGAGAGAGGCAGUGAAUGCUGGAUAGAUCGUGGUGCUGGGUUUAUAUCAUUCACCUGUGGUUUUAGAAACAUUUUUUUUGGUUUGUUUCUUGGAUCAAAUGAAAAUCCUAGCCUUAUUGCUGCAGGAUUUUCUUAAUCCUCUCUCAGUAGUUAAAGACUAUCUCUAGUUUCACUUUGUUUGUUGCAGCUUGUGCAGAAGUGAUACAAGGCAGGUUUAAUUGCUUCCAUCAGCAGCUAUGGGAGAGGAGGAAGAGAGAGGAGAGAGAAGAGAGACAGAGAGAGAGAAAUGUCAUUGGCAAUGAAAAGAUAGCAACUCAUUUAUGUCAAAGAUAUAUCGGAAACUCUACUUCAAGCUUCCUCCUGCUGCACUGAAGUAAAUACUGUAUAUAUUUCAGGAAUUCUGUACAAAAUUAUAUAUUUGAUAACGGAGUGACUGCUGAUUCAGUAAACAUCGCAUAGCUGCACUGUAUUCACUGCGGUGCCACACAAUUUCUGCACAGUAGGCACAUGAAGGAGGGGAAUUGGUAUACAUUCAUAUUUGUAUAUCAAAUCCUCGAAUUCCCUGCCAAUCAUUUCGCAUACUGAUUGGGGAAACUGAGAAUUCCAUACUAUAUUGUGUAGGAAGAGAAAGGUCCAUUUUAGAGAUGAAUUGACUGAGUUAAUGAGAAAUGAAAAGCAUUUUCUAGAAAAUAUCAAAUAAAGAGCAUGAAGAAGAAGAAAGGAUAGGUGAU
rnacentral:lncRNA from 1 species